UGAGGAAUAUUGGUCAAUGGCCGAGAGGCUGAACCAGCCAAGUCGCGUGAGGGAAGACGGUCCUAUGGAUUGUAAACCUCUUUUGUCGGGGAGCAAAAGGUGUCACGUGUGACACUAUGAGAGUACCCGAAGAAAAAGCAUCGGCUAACUCCGUGCC
rnacentral:rRNA from 1 species